UUUUUUUUUUUUUUUUUUGUUGAAAGAGUUAUUACAACUACAACUAUAAUUAUAACUACAACUAUAACUAUAACUGCAACUAUAACUACAACGAUAAGAACUAUCACUACUCUGAAGACAACGAUGUGUUUUCUCAAGAUGAUAACGGAUCUAGCUUCGCCAUCAAUAAGUAUGAGACAAAGGAGUCCAUCUUUGAUGAAACAUCCAUUUUCCUGNUGUACAUUUUUGCAGGACAACUAGCCUGAGCACAAGAGACAUGGUGNACUAGACCUUGUGCGGAAUGUCUACUUCAAAACUUGCAUCUUUAUAUCUGAUAUAUAGAGAUAUAGAGAUAUAGAGAUAUAGAGAGAGGCUGAUGAUUUAUAAACACNAACGAUAAGACUUGUAACAUGAAGUUUGUCGAAAAAGUCAAUCUUUAAAUUCCUUUCUGAACCUCUCUGUUAUGUCAGUGCUUCGGNAUUAUGCUUUAAUGCAGUCACUUGAGGCGUUGGNCCUAAUAGGNGCAAAGUUACCCGNAUAUUUANGGUUCAUGUUUGGUGAUUACUGGAGAACGACUGNGGAAGAGACCCAACCGUAUCGNGGGUUUUUCCCAAUUGGGGAUCUUCCCAA
rnacentral:sRNA from 1 species